rnacentral:rRNA from 1 species
UACGGAGGGUGCGAGCGUUAAUCGGAAUUACUGGGCGUAAAGCGAGUGCAGGCGGUCGCGUGUGUCGGGUGUGAAAGCCCAGGGCUCAACCUUGGAAUUGCACUCGAAACUGCGUGACUAGAAUAUGGUAGAGGAAGACGGAAUUCCACGUGUAGCGGUGAAAUGCGUAGAUAUGUGGAGGAACACCAAUGGCGAAGGCAGUCUUCUGGGCCAAUAUUGACGCUGAGGCUCGAAAGCGUGGGUAGCAAACAGG